rnacentral:rRNA from 1 species
AUUGAACGCUGGCGGCAGGCCUAACACAUGCAAGUCGAACGAGUGGCGGACGGGUGAGUAAUGUCUGGGAAACUGCCCGACGGAGGGGGAUAACUACUGGAAACGGUAGCUAAUACCGCAUACCAUCGGAUGUGCCCAGAUGGGAUUAGCUAGUAGGUGGGGUAAUGGCUCACCUAGGCGCCGAGCCCUAGCUGGUCUGAGAGGAUGACCAGCCACACUGGGACUGAGACACGGUCCGGACUCCUACGGGAGGCAGCAGUGGGGAUUAUUGCACAAUGGGCGCAAGCCUGAUGCAGCCAUGCCGCGUGUAUGAAGAAGGCCGGCGGGUUGUAAAGUACUUUCAGCGGGGAAGCGUUACCCGCAGAGGAAGCACCGGCUAACUCCGUGCCAGCAGCCGCGGUAAUUC